rnacentral:rRNA from 1 species
GAUGAACGCUGGCGGCGUGCCUAAUACAUGCAAGUCGAGCGAACAGACGAGGAGCUUGCUCCUCUGACGUUAGCGGCGGACGGGUGAGUAACACGUGGAUAACCUACCUAUAAGACUGGGAUAACUUCGGGAAACCGGAGCUAAUACCGGAUAAUAUAUUGAGCCGCAUGGUUCAAUAGUGAAAGACGGUUUUGCUGUCACUUAUAGAUGGAUCCGCGCCGCAUUAGCUAGUUGGUAAGGUAACGGCUUACCAAGGCAACGAUGCGUAGCCGACCUGAGAGGGUGAUCGGCCACACUGGAACUGAGACACGGUCCAGACCCCUACGGGAGGCAGCAGUAGGGAAUCUUCCGCAAUGGGCGAAAGCCUGACGGAGCAACGCCGCGUGAGUGAUGAAGGUCUUCGGAUCGUAAAACUCUGUUAUUAGGGAAGAACAAAUGUGUAAGUAACUAUGCACGUCUUGACGGUACCUAAUCAGAAAGCCACGGCUAACUACGU